AUAUCUAAGUCCUUUGCCCAUUUUUAAAUCUGGUUGGUUGUUUUUUUUGUUGUUUUUUAGGAGUUCUCUACAGAUUCUGGACAUUAAUCCCUUAUUAGGUAUAUAAUUUAUAAAUUUUCUCUAAUUUUGUGGAUUGCCUUUUUCUGAUACUCCAGGGCUGAUACUGUUUUUUGAUGCACAAAAUACAAAAAUUUUCAGGAAGCCAACUUUGUCUAUUUUUACUUUUGUUGCCUGUUCCUUUUGGUGUCCUACUCAAGAAAUCAUUGCCAAGUCCAAUGUCAUGAAGUUUUUACCCUAAGUUUUCAUCUAAAAGUUUUAUAGUUUUAGAUCUUACAUCUAUACCUUUGAUCCAUUUUGUAAUUUUGCAUAUGAUAUUAGCUAAGGAUCCAACUUCAUUCUUUUGCAGGUGGAUAUUCAGUUUCCCCAGCAUCAUUUGUUGAAAAGAUAGUCCUUUCCUAUUGAAUGGUCUUAGCACACUUGUCAAAAAUCAUCCUGUUAUAAACGUGAGGGCUUUUUCUGAGUUCUAUAUUCUAUUCCGUUGAUUUAUAUGUUGAUCAUCAUUUCAGUAUUACUGUUUUAAUUAUUGUAGCUUUAUAGUAAAAUUUGAAAUAACAAAUGAGAGUCCUCCAGGUUGUACUUUUUUUUUUUUUUUUUCAAGAUUGCUUUGGCUAUUAAGGGUUCCUUGAGAUGCCAUAUUAAUUUUAGGAGGGGUUUUUCUAUUUCUGCAAAAAUUGUCAUUGGGCUCUGGCCAGCGUGAUUCAGUGGUUAGAGAGAUCAUGGGUUUGAUUCCAGGUCAAGGGCAUGGGUUGAAGAUUUUAUCCCUGGCCCUGCUCAGGGUGGGUGUAGGAAGCAACCAAUUGAUGUCUCUCUCACAUCAAUGUUUCUUUCUCUCUC